GGUGGCGGUUGCUAUAAUGCAGUCGAACGCGUUGGCCCAACUGAUUGAACGUGCUUGCACGGACUUGACGUUGGUUUACCAGCGAGUGGCGGACGGGUGAGUAACACGUAGGUAACCUGCCCCAAAGCGGGGGAUAACAUUUGGAAACAGAUGCUAAUACCGCAUAACAAUUUGAAUCGCAUGAUUCAAAUUUAAAAGAUGGCUUCGGCUAUCACUUUGGGAUGGACCUGCGGCGCAUUAGCUUGUUGGUAGGGUAACGGCCUACCAAGGCUGUGAUGCGUAGCCGAGUUGAGAGACUGAUCGGCCACAAUGGAACUGAGACACGGUCCAUACUCCUACGGGAGGCAGCAGUAGGGAAUCUUCCACAAUGGGCGCAAGCCUGAUGGAGCAACACCGCGUGAGUGAAGAAGGGUUUCGGCUCGUAAAGCUCUGUUGUUAGAGAAGAACGUGCGUGAGAGCAACUGUUCACGCAGUGACGGUAUCUAACCAGAAAGUCACGGCUAACUACGUGCCAGCAGCCGCGGUAAUACGUAGGUGGCAAGCGUUAUCCGGAUUUAUUGGGCGUAAAGCGAGCGCAGGCGGUUUGAUAAGUCUGAUGUGAAAGCCUUUGGCUUAACCAAAGAAGUGCAUCGGAAACUGUCAGACUUGAGUGCAGAAGAGGACAGUGGAACUCCAUGUGUAGCGGUGGAAUGCGUAGAUAUAUGGAAGAACACCAGUGGCGAAGGCGGCUGUCUGGUCUGCAACUGACGCUGAGGCUCGAAAGCAUGGGUAGCGAACAGGAUUAGAUACCCUGGUAGUCCAUGCCGUAAACGAUGAGUGCUAGGUGUUGGAGGGUUUCCGCCCUUCAGUGCCGCAGCUAACGCAUUAAGCACUCCGCCUGGGGAGUACGACCGCAAGGUUGAAACUCAAAGGAAUUGACGGGGGCCCGCACAAGCGGAGGAACAUGUGGUUUAAUUCGAUGAUACGCGAGGAACCUUACCCGGGCUUGAAUUGCAGACUAAUGCGGCGGAG
rnacentral:rRNA from 1 species